UACAGAGGUCCCAAGCGUUGUUCGGAUUCAUUGGGCGUAAAGGGCGCGUAGGCGGCUCGGUAAGUAGGGGGUGAAAUCCUGCGGCUUAACCGCAGGGCUGCCUUCUAAACUGUCGAGCUCGAGCACGGUAGAGGCAGAUGGAAUUCCCGGUGUAGCGGUGGAAUGCGUAGAGAUCGGGAAGAACAUCAGUGGCGAAGGCGGUCUGCUGGGCCGUUGCUGACGCUGAGGCGCGCAGCGUGGGGGAGCAAACA
rnacentral:rRNA from 1 species